rnacentral:rRNA from 1 species
UAAUACGUAGGGGGCAAGCGUUGUCCGGAAUUAUUGGGCGUAAAGCGCGCGCAGGCGGCGAAUUAAGUUUGGUGUUUAAGCCCGGGGCUCAACCCCGGAUCGCACUGAAAACUGGUUGGCUUGAGUGCGGGAGAGGAAAGUGGAAUUCCACGUGUAGCGGUGAAAUGCGUAGAGAUGUGGAGGAACACCAGUGGCGAAGGCGACUUUCUGGACCGUAACUGACGCUGAGGCGCGAAAGCGUGGGGAGCAAACAGGAUUAGAUACCCUGGUAGUCCACGCCGUAAACGAUGAGUGCUAGGUGUUAGGGGUUUCGAUACCCUUGGUGCCGAAGUAAACACAGUAAGCACUCCGCCUGGGGAGUACGCUCGCAAGAGUGAA